ensembl:snRNA U6 U6 spliceosomal RNA
AUUGCCAAUUCAGCAAUAUACUAAAUUGGAAUGAUACAAAGAAGAUUCUUCUGGCUCCUGUAUAAAGAUGAUAUUUGUGAGGCAUUCCAUACAUGA